UUAUACGUCAGUACAACUAACCUCAUAUUCUUGUUAUUAUUUAAUAAAAUAUAUAUAAAAUUUAUUUAUUAAAUUAAUUAAAAUAAAUAAACAAAAAUCUAGAGGUCAACAGAAUUAUAACAAUCACGAUGAAACCUUGGAUAUUUUUGCUGAUUGAUUAUUAAAAGAAGAAAUUGCUGAGAAGAUGUCAACAACACAUUCAAAAAUUCCAGUUACCAUUGACAGUCAGUUGAAAUUGAAAGACAUUGAAUGUAAAUUAUAUUUCGUAUUGUCAUCUGAUAAAAUUUGUAUGGGUGUUCUUGAUGUUGAGAUAUUGUUUUAUUAUAAAGAGGUAAUUUAUUGAAAAUACAUAUUUGUAUUUUUUUUU